GCCCGCGUAGUUUAGCUUGGACAUGCUUUGCAUGAAGCACAUAGAAUGUCAGGUUGCGGACCUGAAGAUCCGGGGUUCAAAUCCUCGCGCGGGCG
rnacentral:tRNA from 1 species